CUCCAUGUGCAGAACAUGUGCAGGGGUGGGUUUCCUCCUCUCUGAUUUUGAUUGACAAGCUGGCAGGGUAGUCUGAUUGGCAACUGAGAACUGAGUCUGAUUGGCAACUGAGUAAAGGACAAAGGUUAUUGGUGGAUCGCUACACAGCACAUGCAGAGUCACAUGCAGUGUAUCUCAGUCGGCUACCCUUGAAAUUAACUGAGUUCAUUCACCUCCGACAUCACAGGCUCUGCAAUGUGACUAUCGCACACAUGUAUAUCGUGCAGGCCUACAAGAGAGAAAAAUAACAUACAUUUUUCUGCGGUAGGCUCGGGUCCGUAUUGGACUCUUUCCUGGUCCGGAAGUGGACCGCGGUCUGCCAUACGGAGACCACUGCUUUAGACUAUGUGUUUGUAGAGAAAUUAUUUUUGGAGGUUCAGUUGGGAAUUACAGUAGGUAUGGUGAAGGGUUAUACAAAACGAGUUUUGCAUAUUAAGAAGGAAUAGGAAAGGGAGGGAAUAGAGUGAAAUGUAUCUAAAGGAGUAAGGUUAGGGUGCUUUAGUACAAAGUGUCAGAGGAUGGGGAAGGGAGAAGCAGGUGGUCGGGACUGCAAUCAUUCUGCUUAGGGUUAGUGUUGAGGCUAGGGUUAGGGUAAGGGUUGUGGUUGAGGCUAGGGUUAGGGUGAGUGUUAGAGUUACGUUUGAGGCUAGGGUUAGGGUUAGGGUUAGGGAGAUAUUUGAGGCCAGGGUUAGGGUUAGGGUUGUGGCUGAGGCUAGGGUUAGGGUUAGGGUUAGGGUUAGGGUUACGUUUGAGGCUAGGGUUAGGGGUAGAGUGAUGUUUGAGGCUAGAGUUAGGGUUAGGGUUGUGGUUGAGGCUAGGGUUAGGAUUAGGGUUAGGGUUAUGUUUGAGGCUAGGGUUAGGGUUAGGGUUGUGGUUGAGGCUAGGGUUAGGGUUAGGGUUAGAGAGAUAUUUGAGGCUAGGGUUAGGGUUAGGGUUCUCAUGAGGCUAGGGUUAGGGUUAGGGUUAGGGUUGUGGUUUAGGCUAGGGUUAGGGUUAAGGUUAGAGUGAUGUUUGAGGCUAGGGUUAGGGUUAAGGUUGAGGAUAGGGUUAGGGUUGUGGCUGAGGCUAGAGUUAGGGUUAGGGUCAGUUUGAGGCUAGGGUUAGGGUUAGGGUUAGAGUGAUGUUUGAGGCUAGGGUUAGGGUUAGGGUUAGGGUUGUGGUUGAGGCUAGGGUUAGGGUUAGGGUUAGGGUUACGUUUGAGGCUAGGGUUAGGGUUAGGGUUAGAGUGAUGUUUGAGGCUAGGGUUAGGCUUAGGGUUAGGGUUAUGGUUGAGGCUAGGGUUAGGGUUAGGGUUAGGGUUGUGGUUGAGGCUAGGGUUAGGGUAAGAGUGUUGUUUGAGGUUAGGGUAAGGGUUAUGGUUGAGGCUAGGGUUAGGGUUAGGGUUGUGGCUGAGGCUAGGGUUAGGGUUAGGGUUAGGGUUACGUUUGAGGCUAGGGUUAGGGUUAGGGUUAGAGUGAUGUUUGAGGCUAGGGUUAGGGUUAGGGUUAGAGAGAUAUUUGAGGCUAGGGUUAGGGUUAGGGUUGUGGUUGAGGCUAGGGUUAGGGUUAGGGUUGUGGUUGAGGCUAGGGUUAGGCUUAGGGUUAGGGUUAUGGUUGAGGCUAGGGUUAGGGUUAGGGUUAGGGUUGUGGUUGAGGCUAGGGUUAGGGUUAGGGUUAUGGUUGAGGCUAGGGUUAGGGUUAGGGUUAGGGUUGUGGUUGAGGCUAGGGUUAGGGUUAGGAUUGUGGCUGAGGCUUGGGUUAGGGUUAGGGUUAGGGUUGUGGUUGAGGCUAGGGUUAGGGUUAGGGUUAGGGUUGUGGCUGAGGCUAGGGUUAGGGUUAGGGUUAGAGUUUUGUUUGAGGCUAGGGUUAGGAUUAGGGUUAGCGUGAUGUUUGAGGCUAGGGCUAGGGUUAAGGUUAGGGCUGUGGUUGAGGCUAGGGUUAGGGUUAGGGUUAGGGUUAUCGUUGAGGCUAGGGUUAGGGUUUGGGUUAGGGUUGAGGCUAGGGUUAGGGUUAGGGUUACGUUUGAGGCUAGGGUUAGGGUUACGUGUGAGGAUAGGGUUAGGGUUAGGGGUAGUCUUGUUGUUGAGGCUAGAGUUAGGGUUGUGGUUGAGGCUAGGGUUAGGGUUGGGGUUAGAGAGAUAUUUGAGGCCAGGGUUAGGGUUGUGGCUGAGGCUAGGGUUAGGGUUAGGGUUACGUUUGAGGCUAGGGUUAGGGUUAGGGUUAGAGUGAUGUUUGAGGCUAGGGUUAGGGUUAGGGUUAGAGAGAUAUUUGAUGCUAGGGUUAGGGUUAGGGUUGGGGUUGUGGUUUAGGCUAGGGUUAGGGUUAGGGUUAGGGUUGUGGUUGAGGCUCGGGUUAGGGUUAGGGUUAUGGCUGAGGCUAGGGUUAGGGUUAGGGUUAGGGUUGUGGCUGAGGCUAGGGUUAGGGUUAGGGUUAGGGUUGUGGCUGAGGCUAGGGUUAGGGUUAGGG
rnacentral:lncRNA from 1 species